AUUGAACGCUGGCGGCAGGCCUAACACAUGCAAGUCGAGCGAGCGGCGGACGGGUGAGUAAUGUCUGGGAAACUGCCUGAUGGAGGGGGAUAACUACUGGAAACGGUAGCUAAUACCGCAUACCAUCAGAUGUGCCCAGAGGGGAGUAGCUAGUAGGUGGGGUAACGGCUCACCUAGGCGACGAUCCCUAGCUGGUCUGAGAGGAUGACCAGCCACACUGGAACUGAGACCUGGUCCAGGCUCCUAAGGUAUGCAGCAGUGGGGAAUAGUGCACAAUGGGCGAAAGCCUGAUGCAGCCAUGCCGCGUGUGGUAAGAAGGCCUUCGGGUUGUAAAGCACUUUCAGCGGGGAGGCGUUACCCGCAGAAGAAGCACCGGCUAACUACGUGCCAGCCGCCGCGGUAAUAC
rnacentral:rRNA from 1 species